rnacentral:misc_RNA from 1 species
GCUUUCCAAGAUUGCUCGGUUUGUGAAACCAUAAAUGGGUUUUCCAUCUGGUGUCUGGUUACCUGCUUUGGAGCUCGAUUAAUCUGGAUUCUCGCUGCGUAGAGCCCAUUCGGGGGAAGCGUUUCCUACCAAUGACUUUUUUCAUACCCAGGACUCGAAACGGAAACCUCAAGUGAUGAGAGGACCCAUCCGCUGCACUGCAUCCUUAUUCCUUGGUGAUUGAUGGUUGAUGAAAUUGGUUG